UACGAAGGGGGCUAGCGUUGCUCGGAAUCACUGGGCGUAAAGGGUGCGUAGGCGGGUCUUUAAGUCAGGGGUGAAAUCCUGGAGCUCAACUCCAGAACUGCCUUUGAUACUGAAGAUCUUGAGUUCGGGAGAGGUGAGUGGAACUGCGAGUGUAGAGGUGAAAUUCGUAGAUAUUCGGAAGAACACCAGUGGCGAAGGCGACUCACUGGACAGGUAUUGACGCUGAGGUGCGAAAGCGUGGGGAGCAAACAGG
rnacentral:rRNA from 1 species